rnacentral:sRNA from 1 species
GGUUGUGACAGUGAUCUGGCUGAGACAUCUGUCACCCCACAGAUCGCCCGAGUUGAUUCAGCUGACCUGGCUAGGCGCGUGCCCCCUUCCUCUCUCACCACUCCAUGUGCGUCCCUCCUGAAGCUGCACACUCAGUCGAGGGGGAUGAGGACUGGUCUUCAGUCAAGGGUAUAGGAGUAGCGCUCCCCUGCAAGAACCUCUAAACAAGCUCUCACUAAGUCGCCCAAUUGGCCACAAUCUUACAAUG